UACGUAGGGCGCAAGCGUUAUCCGGAAUUAUUGGGCGUAAAGAGCUCGUAGGCGGUUUGUCGCGUCUGCCGUGAAAGUCCGGGGCUCAACCCCGGGCCUGCAGUGGGUACGGGCAGACUAGAGUGCGGUAGGGGAGACUGGAAUUCCUGGUGUAGCGGUGAAAUGCGCAGAUAUCAGGAGGAACACCGGUGGCGAAGGCGGGUCUCUGGGCCGUAACUGACGCUGAGGAGCGAAAGCAUGGGGAGCGAAUAGG
rnacentral:rRNA from 1 species